ensembl:snRNA U1 U1 spliceosomal RNA
AAGUUUUAAAAACAGGGGAAACACCAUGAUCAGGAAGGUGGUUUUCCCAGGGCGAGGCUCAUCCUUUGCACUUUGGGAUGUGCUGACCACCAGGAUUUCCCCAAAUGUGGGAAACUCGACUGCAUAAUUUGUGGUAAUGGGGGACUGUGUUCGUGCUCUCACCUG